rnacentral:rRNA from 1 species
CGCGUAGGCGGGUUCGCAAGUCUGUGGUGAAAGCCUCCAGCUUAACUGGAGAAGUGCCGUGGAUACUGCGAAUCUUGAGGAGGGUAGGGGCAUCUGGAACGGUCGGUGGAGCGGUGAAAUGCGUUGAUAUCGACCGGAACUCCGGUGGCGAAGGCGAGGUGCUGGACCCUUUCUGACGCUGAGGCGCGAAAGCCAGGGAGCAAACG